UACAGAGGUGGCAAGCGUUGUUCGGAAUUACUGGGCGUAAAGGGCGCGUAGGCGGCCUACUAAGUCAGACGUGAAAUCCCCCGGCUUAACCUGGGAACUGCGUCUGAUACUGGAAGGCUUGAGGAUGGGAGAGGGAUGUAGAAUUCCAGGUGUAGCGGUGAAAUGCGUAGAUAUCUGGAGGAAUACCGGUGGCGAAGGCGGCAGUCCUGGACCAUUACGUGACGCUGAGGCGCGAAAGCUAGGGGAGCAAACGGGG
rnacentral:rRNA from 1 species